ensembl:snoRNA
GUUGAGGUGUGUGUCCUAAUGGGGCUCUUCCUAUAGAUCUACAUUAUUGGAAACACCUUUUAGAGUAUCUCUGUGGUUUUGCUUUACUCAGAGGAAUGUUCGUUAGAUCUGUGGGAAGGCACCAUGAGAUGGAA